AAGUUUGCCGUAUUACAUGCAUGUAUCAGAAAUUAUUCGGGAUUUGGACCAUGUCUCUCAUUAUAUUUUAAGCGACCGCUACGAUUCGUUUAUUGAAAAGUUUCUUAAGUGCAUGACUUUUUUUGAAAUGAUGGAUCCGUACACCUUAAAAAAAGGCGAGCAUAUGCACUACGGCUCUCUAAGCUUCCGUCACGCGCUUAUUGUAUAU